CUACGGGGGGCUCCAGUGGGGAAUAUUGGACAAUGGGGGAAACCCUGAUCCAGUAAUGCCGCGUGUGUGAAGAAGGCCUGCGGGUUGUAAAGCACUUUCGGUUGGGAGGACUGCUUCUAGCACUAAUAUUGUUGGAAGUUGACGUUACCUUCAGAAGAAGCACCGGCUAACUCCGUGCCAGCAGCCGCGGUAAUAUGGAGGGUGCAUGCGUUAAUCGGAAUUACUGGGCGUAAAGCGCGCGUAGGCGGCUAGAUCAGUCGGGUGUGAAAGCCCCGGGCUUAACCUGGGAACUGCAUCCGAUACUGUCUAGCUUGAGUACAGGAGAGGAGAGUGGAAUUCCACAUGUAGCGGUGAAAUGCGUAGAUAUGUGGAGGAACACCAAUGGCGAAGGCAGCUCUCUGGCCUGAUACUGACGCUGAGGUGCGAAAGCGUGGGGAGCAAACAGGAUUAGAUACCCGCGUAGUC
rnacentral:rRNA from 1 species